rnacentral:rRNA from 1 species
GAUGAACGCUGGCGGCGUGCCUAAUACAUGCAAGUCGAGCGAACGGACGAGAAGCUUGCUUCUCUGAUGUUAGCGGCGGACGGGUGAGUAACACGUGGAUAACCUACCUAUAAGACUGGGAUAACUUCGGGAAACCGGAGCUAAUACCGGAUGAUAUUUUGAACCGCAUGGUUCAAAAGUGAAAGACGGUCUUGCUGUCACUUAUAGAUGGAUCCGCGCUGCAUUAGCUAGUUGGUAAGGUAACGGCUUACCAAGGCAACGAUGCAUAGCCGACCUGAGAGGGUGAUCGGCCACACUGGAGCUGGGACACGGUCAAGACUCCUACGGGAGGCAGCAGUAGGGAAUCUUCCGCAAUGGGCGAAAGCCUGACGGAGCAACGCCGCGUGAGUGAUGAAGGUCUUCGGAUCGUAAAACUCUGUUAUUAGGGAAGAACAUAUGUGUAAGUAACUGUGCACAGCUUGACGGUACCUAAUCAGAAAGCCCCGGCUAACUACGUG